ACAUAUCCAGCCACGAAGACAGCUUGGGAAUUCAUGCACUUAGCUUUCCAGCAUCUGUAGCAGAAGCAGAUCAGGAAGAAAAGGGUGGGAAAAAGGUGUGGAGUUACCCAGUCAACAGUGUCUGCCAAAGAAGAGUGAACCUAAAAGCACUUCAAAGCCAUUUAACAGCAAAUUUUGUUAGCAAAUUUUCUUUCCAAAGCACUUAUCUUAGUUUUCUUAAAAAUGACCAUGUUUGCGUGGACCGCUCUCCGCCAACAGGUGUCUUCCACAGACCCCUCUCGCUUUAGCCCUCAGUCUCUUUCAAUUCUGUCUUUUCUCUCGGUCCAUAAAAACAAGGAAGUCGACCCCAGUGGAGCCUAGUCUCCCCACGAGGAGGCGGCCCCGGGGGUGGAGUCAACCCUGGAGGCCACGCUCUGUGGGAAAGCACGGGGCAUGCAAACUCGAAAUGAAAGCCCGGGAACGCCGGAACAAGCACAGGUGUAAGAUUUCCCUUUUAAAACGUGGAGAAUAAGAAAUCAGCCCGAGUGUGUAAUGGCGUCAAUAGUGGUGUGGACGAGACAAAGGCAAUGAGGCAAGGAGCGAGGCUGGGGCUCUCACCGCGACUUUAAUAUGGAUGAGAGUGGGACGGUGACGGCGGGGGCGAAAGCAACGAUUCUUGAUUAAUUCACCAUUUCCCAGCCAUUGGAAUAAGAAGUGCCUCUGUAGCAUUUGCUGGUGCUCACUCAGACAUCUGCCUUUAUUUUUGUGGACAAAGAAAAAUUUACAGGCUGGGAGAGAAGCUAAACAAAUAUGGUGGCCAGAGUUGAAUUGUGCUAUCUUUGCCUGUUGGUGGCCAGUGCCUUGGGGUUAAUCCUUUCCUCUUGAGGUCCAUGUCCGCUUGGGGAGAUUGAUCCACAACUUCAUUCACAUUGACUGGGGUGGGAAAAUGACCCAGGCCAGUCACACACACAGCAGUCUGCUUGGGAUAAGAGUCAGACUCAGGACUUUGCUGGAGUUCCCGGGAAUGAUGCCCUCUUUUUUGGCUGGGGAUGCUAAGCUGCAAGAUGUGCUCCUGGAGCUGGUGACAUCUGUGCCAUCAUCAGAGCAGACGCCUGCCUGGCAAGGAACCCAGAGGAAAGUGGAACCCAGGCUUAGAGAUGAGCCUUCCUGACAUUGUUUGAGCAUCUGGGAUCCAGCUACGUUCAGAUGGCUGGGCUUUUCCAUGUACUGAGCCAAUGAAUUUCCUUUCUCUCUUUUUAAAGCCACAUUGAGUUGGAUUUCCAUUUCUGUCACUUGCAACCCUAGCAGUUUUGUUGGAACAGUGGCCCUCACUGCUGUUUGAUUAUGGUGUGUCCUUCUUGGCCCUCCCAUCAUCCUGCGUGUGAAACCACACACUGCCAAGUAUUGCUCAAUAUUCCUGAUUGUGUUGGGUGGGCAUCCUUGCUCUGCCCUCUCUAGCUGACAGCAAGUUAGAACCAAGGCAAAUUCCUUAAUUGCUCAGAGCUGUAGUUUCCUUGAUUGUAAAAUUGCGGGUUUGGGUGGGGGUGGGGAAGACACCCUCUAUCAAGGGGCUGUUGGGAGAAUGAAACGAAGUAAUGUAUGCGUGGCAUUAACACAGUUUCAUAUUAAACAUUUGCAUUUGAGUCAUUUUUAUCACUGUUACUAUAAAUAAAAGGCAGGUUAUCACAGGCAGCAAUCCUACCUUUCUUCUCUUUGUAUCUUCCACAAUGCCUGGCUUAUAGCUGGAGGU
rnacentral:lncRNA from 10 species